rnacentral:rRNA from 1 species
CCCUUAGAUGUCCUGGGCCGCACGCGCGCUACACUGACAUGUUCAACAAGUUUCUCCUAGUUCGACAGGACUGGGAAAUCUUUGAACGCAUGUCGUGAUGGGGAUAGAUCAUUGCAAUUAUUGAUCUUGAACGAGGAAUUCCUAGUAAACGCGAGUCAUCAGCUCGCAUUGAUUACGUCCCUGCCCUUUGUACACACCGCCCGUCGCACCUACCGAUUGAAUGUUUCGGUGAAGAUUCCGGAUAGGACUGAUUUGAUUUAUUUCAUUUCUGACCUAAAAGCUAUCUAAACCUCAACAUUUAGAGGAAGGUGAAGUCGUAACA